UGCAAGUCGAGCGGAGAUUGCAGUAAUAAUAUCUUAGCGGCGGACGGGUGAGUAACGCGUGGGCAACCUGCCUCACACUGGGGGAUAACACAGGGAAACUUGUGCUAAUACCGCAUAACAUCAUGAAAGGACAUCCUUUUAUGAUCAAAGGAGAAAUCCGCUUUGAGAUGGGCCCGCGGCUGAUUAGCUAGUUGGUGAGGUAAUGGCUCACCAAGGCGACGAUCAGUAGCCGACCUGAGAGGGUGACCGGCCACACUGGAACUGAGAUACGGCCCAGACUCCUACGGGGGGCAGCAGUGGGGAAUAUCGCACAAUGGGGGCAACCCUGACGCAGCAACGCCGCGUGAAGGAUGAAGGUUUUCGGAUCGUAAACUUCUUUGAUGGGGGACGAAACAAAUGACGGUACCCGAAAAACAAGCCACGGCUAACUACGUGCCAGCAGCCGCGGUAAUACGUAGGUGGCGAGCGUUGUCCGGAAUUACUGGGUGUAAAGGGCGUGUAGGCGGGUUUGCAAGUCAGAUGUGAAAUUCCGGAGCUUAACUCCGGCGCUGCAUUUGAAACUGCAAGUCUUGAGUACUGGAGAGGGAAGCGGAAUUCCUAGUGUAGCGGUGAAAUGCGUAGAUAUUAGGAGGAACACCAGUGGCGAAGGCGGCUUUCUGGACAGUAACUGACGCUGAGGCGCGAAAGCGUGGGGAGCAAACAGGAUUAGAUACCCUGGUAGUCCACGCUGUAAACGAUGGAUACUAGGUGUAGGAGGUAUCGACCCCUUCUGUGCCGGAGUUAACACAAUAAGUAUCCCACCUGGGGAGUACGGCCGCAAGGUUGAAACUCAAAGGAAUUGACGGGGGCCCGCACAAGCAGUGGAGUAUGUGGUUUAAUUCGAAGCAACGCGAAGAACCUUACCAGGGCUUGACAUCCCGUGACAGCUCAAGAGAUUGCUUAGUCCUUCGGGACACCUGUGCAGGUGGUGCAUGGUUGUCGUCAGCUCGUGUCGUGAGAUGUUGGGUUAAGUCCCGCAACGAGCGCAACCCUUGUUGUUAGUUGCCAUCAUUAAGUUGGGCACUCUAACGAGACUGCCGGUGACAAAUCGGAGGAAGGUGGGGACGACGUCAAAUCAUCAUGCCCCUUAUGUCCUGGGCUACACACGUACUACAAUGGCUAUAACAGCAGGAAGCGAAACAGCGAUGUGGAGCAAAUCCCAAAAUACAGUCCCAGUUCGGAUUGUAGGCUGAAACUCGCCUACAUGAAGUCGGAAUUGCUAGUAAUCGUAGGUCAGCAUACUACCGUGAAUACGUUCCCGGGCCUUGUACACACCGCCCGUCACACCAUGAGAGUCUGCAACACCCGAAGUCAGUAGUUUAACCAGUAAGGAGAGAGCUGCCGAAGGUGGGGCCGAUGACUGGGGUGAAGUCGUAACAAGGUAACC
rnacentral:rRNA from 1 species